CAGGUAUUGUAUAGACUUGGCAGAAUAUCCCAUCCCUAAUUUGGAAAUUACUGCAGAUCUGAGAGAUGAAACGGCUUUGUCGACUACUGCAUACAUUUAACAUCCAAUGUUAUGUGAGGGUUACUGUUCACGAAGGCAGACUUGUGUGCAGAAUCGUUUCCACAGCAUAGCACGGGUUUAAAUUCAAGAAAGUGCUGGAAUUUCAAUAUCUUAUGUGAUGGUCAAGAAAUAGUUGGAUUGCAAGGGAGAAAGCAUUUAUAAGACUGUCUUUUAAAAACUGCUGGUACUUCAAUAUGUUGUAAUUUGUUAAACAGG